rnacentral:rRNA from 1 species
UACGAAGGGGGGCUAGCGUUGUUCGGAAUUACUGGGCGUAAAGCGCACGUAGGCGGACAUUUAAGUCAGGGGUGAAAUCCCGGGGCUCAACCCCGGAACGGCCUUUGAUACUGGGUGUCUUGAGUUCGGAAGAGGUGAGUGGAAUUGCGAGUGUAGAGGUGAAAUUCGUAGAUAUUCGCAGGAACACCAGUGGCGAAGGCGGCUCACUGGUCCGAUACUGACGCUGAGGUGCGAAAGCGUGGGGAGCAAACAGA